rnacentral:siRNA from 1 species
CUUGACUUUGCUUGAGGAUUGA